rnacentral:tRNA from 1 species
GGGGCUAAAGCCAAGUGGUAAGGCGAAGCUCUUCAAAAGCUUUAUGCCCCAGUUCGAAUCUGGGUAGCGCCU